rnacentral:rRNA from 1 species
AGUGGCGAACGGGUGAGUAACACGUGAGUAACCUGCCCUUGACUUCGGGAUAACUCCGGGAAACCGGGGCUAAUACCGGAUAUGAGCUACCUUCGCAUGGGGGUGGUUGGAAAGUUUUUCGGUCAGGGAUGGGCUCGCGGCCUAUCAGCUUGUUGGUGGGGUGAUGGCCUACCAAGGCGACGACGGGUAGCCGGCCUGAGAGGGCGACCGGCCACACUGGGACUGAGACACGGCCCAGACUCCUACGGGAGGCAGCAGUGGGGAAUAUUGCACAAUGGGCGCAAGCCUGAUGCAGCGACGCCGCGUGAGGGAUGAAGGCCUUCGGGUUGUAAACCUCUUUCAGCAGGGAAGAAGCGCAAGUGACGGUACCUGCAGAAGAAGCGCCGGCUAACUACGUGCCAGCAGCCGCGGUAAUACGUAGGGCGCAAGCGUUGUCCGGAAUUAUUGGGCGUAAAGAGCUCGUAGGCGGUUUGUCGCGUCUGGUGUGAAAACUCGAGGCUCAACCUCGAGCUUGCAUCGGGUACGGGCAGACUAGAGUGCGGUAGGGGAGACUGGAAUUCCUGGUGUAGCGGUGGAAUGCGCAGAUAUCAGGAGGAACACCGAUGGCGAAGGCAGGUCUCUGGGCCGCAACUGACGCUGAG